rnacentral:rRNA from 1 species
GCCGUACUUAGCCCAACAUAAAACACAAUACAAUUAUCAAUUCCCACUAAAACAAAACAUUUAUCAACACCAAACAUAAAAGUAUAGGAGAUAGAAAUUCUAAUUGGAGCUAUAGAGAAAGUACCGUAAGGGAAAAAUGAAAGAAAACACCAAAGCAAUGUACAGCAAAGCUUACCCCUUGUACCUUUUGCAUAAUGAUUUAACUAGUAUAAUUUAGCAAAGAGAACUUAAGUCAAAACCCCCGAAACCAGACGAGCUAUUCAUGAGCAGCUACACAGAGCGAACUCAUCUAUGUGGCAAAAUAGUGAGACGACUCGUGAAUAGAGGUGAUAAGCCUACCGAGCCUGGUGAUAGCUGGUUGUCCAGAAAAGAAUUUUAGUUCGAACUUAAACCUACCUAGAACCAUCCAAAUUCCACUGUAGGUUUAAGAGAUAGUCCAAAAGGGUACAGCCUUUUGGAUUCAGGACACAACCUUAAUUAGUGAGUAAGUGUAACAACAACCCAUAGUAGGCCCAGAAGCAGCCAUCAAUAAAGAAAGCGUUAAAGCUCAAACAAUACGCCCACCCUAAUACCAAUAGCAUCAACCAACUCCCAACAUAAAACUGGACCAUUCCAUAAAUGUAUGGAAGAGACAAUGUUAAUAUAAGUAACAAGAAAUAAUUCUCCCUGCACAAGCAUAUACCAGAACGGAUGCCCACUGGUAGUUAACAAGACAAGAAAUAAGCCCAAAGACAAGCUCUUCACCCAAUCACUUGUUAAUCCAACACAGGAGUGCACCUAAGGGAAAGAUUAAAAGGAGCAAAAGGAACUCGGCAAACACAAACCCCGCCUGUUUACCAAAAACAUCACCUCUAGCAUUACCAGUAUUAGAGGCACUGCCUGCCCAGUGACAUCAGUUCAACGGCCGCGGUAUCCUGACCGUGCAAAGGUAGCAUAAUCACUUGUUCUCUAAAUAAGGACUUGUAUGAAUGGCCACACGAGGGUUUUACUGUCUCUUGCUCCCAAUCCGUGAAAUUGACCUUCCCGUGAAGAGGCGGGAAUGCUGAAAUAAGACGAGAAGACCCUAUGGAGCUUCAAUUAACCAGCCUAAGAAAAAUAUUGGCCCCCAAAAGGAACAAAACCCUUUCAAAUAGGCUGGCAAUUUAGGUUGGGGUGACCUCGGAGCAUAAAACACCCUCCGAGUGAUUAUAAAUCUAGACCUACCAGUCAAAACCACAUCACUUAUUGACCCAAAAUUACAUUUGAUCAACGGAACAAGUUACCCUAGGGAUAACAGCGCAAUCCUGUCUUAGAGUCCCUAUCGACGCCAGGGUUUACGACCUCGAUGUUGGAUCAGGACAUCCCAAUGGUGCAGCCGCUAUUAACGGUUCGUUUGUUCAACGAUUAAAGUCCUACGUGAUCUGAGUUCAGACCGGAGCAAUCCAGGUCGGUUUCUAUCUAUUUAAUGCCUCUCCCAGUACGAAAGGACAAGAGAGACAGGGCCAACUUCAAAAAGUGCCCUCAAAACUAACAGAUGACCCAGUCUCAAUCUGAUAGAUCAUUAACACACCCGCCCUAGACCAGGGCUAA